rfam:Nematostella vectensis strain CH2 x CH6 NEMVEscaffold_64_Cont9389, whole genome shotgun sequence.
UUUAAGACUGCCUCGAUGAGCCAACUAUACAGAUAUCUGUAAAGCUGGUUUAUCGAGGCAGUCUUUAA